CCUACGGGAGGCUGCAGUGGGGAAUAUUGGACAAUGGGGGGAACCCUGAUCCAGCCAUGCCGCGUGUGUGAAGAAGGCCCUCGGGUUGUAAAGCACUUUCAGUGAGGAAGAACGCCUGGUGGUUAAUACCCAUCAGGAAAGACAUCACUCACAGAAGAAGCACCGGCUAACUCCGUGCCGGCAGCCGCGGUAAUACGGAGGGUGCGAGCGUUAAUCGGAAUUACUGGGCGUAAAGCGCGCGUAGGUGGCUUGAUAAGCCGGUUGUGAAAGCCCCGGGCUCAACCUGGGAACGGCAUCCGGAACUGUCAAGCUAGAGUGCAGGAGAGGAAGGUAGAAUUCCCGGUGUAGCGGUGAAAUGCGUAGAGAUCGGGAGGAAUACCAGUGGCGAAGGCGGCCUUCUGGACUGACACUGACACUGAGGUGCGAAAGCGUGGGUAGCAAACAGGAUUAGAUACCCGUGUAGUC
rnacentral:rRNA from 1 species